CCUGGGGAGACUGGAGACUGGGAGACUGGGAGCCGAAGUAUAUACCCCUUCGUCCUUGAUUGGUCAACUGUGGGUGGCGUAAGUUUCUUCUUCUUCUUCAGCCCGAAACUCAUAGGUGGCGGCAACACACCCGGUGUAGUCUACCAUAAAACUUUAAAGAAGAAGCCCGAAACUCAUAGGUGGCGGCAACACACCCGGUGUAGUCUACCAUAAAACUUUAAAGAAGAAGCCCGAAACUCAUAGGUGGCGGCAACACAUCAGGUGAAGUCUACCAUAAAACUUUAAAGAAGAAGAAGCCCGAAACUCGGUGUGUAUUCAACAUGGCGAACAACAACUUCAAGCAUCGAUUGACCGAAGAGGUACAGAAGUACCUUAACCACUACAAUUAUAGCCAUGCAUUAUAUAAAGACCAGCAUGUAAAUGCCAAUUAAUGGAGGGUGAUUGCGGAAACGCUGGGGUCCGACCCAAUCACUUGUUUGAAAAAGUGGGGUAUGAUUCGCAACAAGUUUGUCAAGGCAAAGAAAAGAAACAAGGGCCACAGUGGAAAUGCCGGUGGAAAAGCUACUAUAGAAAUGUUGCUGCUGGCUUGUUCGGCACGUGAAGCAUGGGAAGACUGAAAGCAACAUGACGUCUUCACCAAAGGAUGAGGGGACAAACAGCAGUGAAUGGAGACAUAGCCUGGUUUUGUUCUCUGCGCCCCAGCACUGCCUGUUCACCGGCCCCAAACACUACCUCUCCAGACACUCUUAAUUCCCUCUCCACAGGGCCCUGGCACCUACAGCUGACUUCAUGGAUGAACUCUUGCCAAAACUCUUGGAGAAAUUUGAUCACCAGCUGCAAGACAAGAGGAGGACGUGGUCUGAACGACUGGGACUACAGUGAAAUUAAGUUUGGUUGUUGUUCAGACAUCUCAGGAGUCAGACACAUUUGUUUCCAUAGACACUUGUUUACAUGUCUGUUCUCAGCAGACACUUUUGAACUGUGGCUUACUUUCAGAGCCCAGAAGCAAGAAUAAAGGUUUAUUUUUGUGUGCUGAAAAAGCUUUUGGCAUUUCUUCAUCUCAAUACAAGGUGUUUCAAUGCAUUCUAUUUGAACAGCAAGUGCUGACAAUGUACAGAAGAGCUGUGUGCUACAGACCUUACAGGCUUUCUUCUAUUUGUGGUGUACUUCCAUCUAAUCUAAAUUACUGAACAGAGACAUCAGAUUUCAUUUUAUUAACAAGAUUCAAUCUACAUUUUAGUACGAAGUACUUUGGUUCACAGUGCACACACAGAACCGUGUCGACGUCCAUCAAGGGGGAUGUGAGCAGUCGAAACAAUGGACUAUUUCGGCAUGAUUGGCUGGCCUUGAGUUGAAUUGUCCUCUCCUAACCAUGUCUUUCUACCAUGGUACAAUUCCAGGGGCUGCAAGGAUGAGGAGCCAUGUGUGGUGCCUGGUUUCCUCCAGACCAAGACUCUUCCUAGAGCUGGCCCCCUGGCCAAACUGAGCAAUCGGGGGACAAUGGCCUUGGUCAGGGAGGUGACCAAGAACCUGAUGGUCACUGACAGAGCUCCUCUGUGGAGAUGGGAGAAACUUCCAGAAAGACAACCAUCUCUGCAGCACUCCACCAAUCAGUCCUUUAUGGUAGAGUGGCCAGACGGAAGCUACACCUCAGUAAAAGGUACAUAACAGCCUGCUUGGAGUUUGCCAAAAGGCACCUAAAGGACUCUCAGAGCAUGAGAAACAAGAUUAUCUGCUCUGAUGAAACCAAGAGCUCUGUAAGGGUGACCAUUGGGUUCUUGGUCACCUCCCUGACCAAGGCCCUUUUCCCCUGACUGCGGCCAGCUCCAGAAAGACUUGGUGGUUCCAAACUUCCAUUUAAGAAUGAUGGAGGCCACGGUGUUCCUGGGGACCUUCAAUGUUGCAGAGAUGUUUUGGUACAUUUCCUCGGAUCUAUGCAGCGACACAAUCCUGUCUCGGAGCUCUACGGACAAUUACUUCGACCUCAUGACUUGGUGUUUGCUCUGACAUGCACUGUCAACUGUGGGACUUUAUAUAGACAGGUGUGUGCCUUUCUGAAUCAUGUCCAAUCGAUUGAAUUUACCACAGGUGGACUCCAAGUUUGAGAACCAUCUCAAGAAUUAUCAAUAGAAACAGUGCACCUGAGCUCAAUGUCUUGUCUCAUAGCAAAGAGUCUGAAUAAUUAUGGGCAUAAGGUAUCAGUUUUUUGUUUUUAAUACCUUUGCAAAAAUGUAUAAACUGUUUUCACUUUCAUUAUGGGGAAUGGUGUGUAGAUGAGGAAAAACCUGUAUUUAAUCCAUUUUAGAAUAAGGCUGUAACGUAACUGUGGAAAAAGUGAAGGGGUCUGAAUACUUUCUGAAUGCACUGUACAUGUGAACAACAUACACAACUCCUAUAUAAAAUAUUUUUCUCAAAGUU